ACUGCUGGUCAGGGACAUAGGACUUGUGGCUUAAAUCCGCUUCCUUACACUUGAAGAUAAGAUUUGCUGUCUUUGAUCUGCUCCCCUACAACUAAGGGAGGCAAGGCUUGUGUCCUCGAUCUACUUCGCUGUCAAUGUAGGAAGAUAAGAUCUGCUUCUUUAACCAGCUCCACUGCAACCAAUGAAGGCAAGGCUUGUUUUCGAUCUGCUUCGUUGUUAACGCUGGAAGGCAAGAUCUGCUUCUUUAACCAGCUCCACUGUAACCAAUGAAGGCAAGGCUUUGUUUUCGAUGUUCACUGAUUUGUUCUCUAGGGAACAUGACCUGUAUGUUCUAUUUUAUGAACCUAAUUGUGCCUAGAGAUUAGGAUGACAUGAUCAGAACGAAUCAAAUGCUCCUAACUAGAUGUGUAUGAAUGACAUGCAAAA
rnacentral:lncRNA from 1 species